rnacentral:tRNA from 1 species
GCCUUCGUGAUGUAGUGGUCAGCACGCUCGACGCGUAACCGAGAGGUCCGUGGUUCGAUUCUCGGCGAAGGCG